rnacentral:rRNA from 1 species
UACGUAGGGUGCGAGCGUUGUCCGGAAUUAUUGGGCGUAAAGAGCUCGUAGGCGGUGUGUCGCGUCGGCCGUGAAAACCUGGGGCUCAACUCUGGGCGUGCGGUCGAUACGGGCAUCACUUGAGUUCGGCAGGGGAGACUGGAAUUCCUGGUGUAGCGGUGAAAUGCGCAGAUAUCAGGAGGAACACCGGUGGCGAAGGCGGGUCUCUGGGCCGAUACUGACGCUGAGGAACGAAAGCUAGGGGAGCAAACAGG